rnacentral:rRNA from 1 species
GGGCCCGCACAAGCGGCGGAGCAUGUGGUUUAAUUCGAUGCAACGCGAAAAACCUUACCUACUCUUGACAUACUUGGAAGCUCUUGUAAUGAGAGUGUGCCUUUUGGAACCAAGAUACAGGUGCUGCAUGGCUGUCGUCAGCUCGUGUCGUGAGAUGUUCCGUUAAGUCGGAUAACGAGCGCAACCCUUACCCUUAUUUGCCAGCGAUUCGGUCGGGAACUAUAAGGGGACUGCCGGUGAUAAACCGGAGGAAGGUGAGGACGACGUCAAGUCAUCAUGGCCCUUACGAGUAGGGCUACACACGUGCUACAAUGGGGAAUACAGACGGACGCUAAGCCGCGAGGUGGUGCUAAUCCCAAAAAGCUGUCUCAGUUCGGAUUGUUGUCUGCAACUCGACAACAUG